rnacentral:rRNA from 1 species
GCAUCGAUGAAGAACGCAGCGAACUGCGAUAAGUAGUGUGAAUUGCAGAAUUCAGUGAAUCAUCAAACCCUUGAACGUACAUGGCACCCUGUGGUAACGCAGGGUACGCCUGUUUGAGCCUCGGUAUUCAACCUCGCACCCUACUCCAAUUGGUGUAGUGGAGCGGAUCUUGGGGAUUGCUGUACAGCAUUCCCUCAAAUGUAGCUGCUUGACGCAGCGGGUUAACAGGCCAAGGUGCUUGAGCCGCAAAAAAAUCAGUUUUGAUGGCAACAUUUGCCUUUUUAUCUGGUUUGGCUCGAUCUCUUGUAAACCUGACCUGCGAACGUUUUCAGGCAUGAUGUGCUUCUCUUCAGAGAAGUACCCUUUUUUCAACUUUCGAGCUCAAAUCAGGCGAGAGUACCCGCUGAAUUUAAGCAUAUCAAUAAGCGGAGGA